GGAGCAAAAUUCAACCAACAAAGUGCAUUCCGCGUAACCCUGUAUACACCAAGGCAGGCGAUACCAGUUCCCUAAUGGGAAAAAUUAUUAAAUGAAUGUGAACGGAAGGAUGUCGUCAAAUAAUGUGGAUUGCAAUUGCAAAAAAUUAACGAGACCAGAUGAUGAGAUGGAGGCGAGCCACAGUAAGACUCCGAGAUCAGUGCGACUCUUCUAGUGUUGUGGGCAACGCGAUCGGUCCGUGUUGCAGUGGAGUGAAAAUUUAUAUUGAGUACCUAAUUUGUAGGAGCGGCUGGAGUAUCUGACCAAAAUGUUUAAUGACUUUUUAUUCCGGAACAAAAUUUAUGCCGAUAAAUGGAACUAAUAAAAAAUCGUACCCCAAAUGCAAAAGAUGAUCGAUUCAAGACAAGAACAAUUAAAUGCCUGGAUACACUAUAAUUCAAGAUUAAUCUCCCCCUAUGAUGUAAUAAAUUUAAGUUGGAAAUAAAGAAUAAAGAACAUUAUGAAAUCGUAAAAA